GCCAUGGGAGGCAAUUCAUCUAGGAGAGGGACAACUCCGAACAACAAACACGGGCAGAUGGAGGUCGUUAGCCAUGGUAGGUAAUUCAUCUAGGAGAGGGACAACUCCGAACAACAAACACGGGCAGAUGGAGGUCGUUAGCGUAAGCAGUUCACCUAGGAGAGCAAACUCCGAUUACAAACCCGGGCAGGUGGAGGUCGUUAGCGUAAGCAGUUCACCUAGGAGAGCAAACUCCGAUUACAAACCCGGCCAGGUGGAGGUCGUUAGCGUAAGCAGUUCACCUAGGAGAGCAAACUCCGAUUACAAACCCGGCCAGGUGGAGGUCGUUAGCGUGAGCAGUUCACCUAGGAGAAGGACAACUCUGACCACAAACCCGGGCAGGAGGGGGUCGUUAGCCGUGGUAGGCAAUCCUCCUAGGAGAAGGAAAACUCC